GUUUGAUGUAAUGCUUAUGUAUGUCCAUGUCUUUUGGCAUGUUCAUGUCUUGUACAGCAUAUAGAGGGGCAGCCGAAGGCUUAAUAGUCCCAUUUUAGUUGGGUUGGUGGCCUCAUUAGGCUUGUAAAUAAAGGUUGUGUCAUGUGGAUACGUGCGAGAGAUUUUCGGUCUAUAAUGGACCAUUUUACCCUUUGUUGUGCCACUGUUCAGAGCUUGUAAAGUC
rnacentral:lncRNA from 1 species